UCCUUCUUAGCUCAGUUGGUAGAGCGCGUCACUAGUAUCCCAGAAGAGUCGUUUUGCGUUGAAUUUCUUAUGACGAGGUCAGUCGUUCAAGUCGGCUAGAAGUAA